AGCCUCUCCGAGGGGUGUCCUUUAUGGGCUGAGAUGGCGACGUUAGCCGGACCCUUUGAACCUGAUCUGGGUCAUGCCAGCGAAGGGACGGGUUGGCAAUAGCAC
rnacentral:ncRNA from 1 species